GGGGAUGCCGAGGAUUGAUGGACGGUUCAUUCGACGCUUGCAGACCGCGUGCCGGAAUCACGCGUUAAUCCCUUCCGGAACAAGACAACUGCCAACGUCUUCAACAAGGUGAAGGAAACGGUCGCUUCGGCGUUCCGCGCUCCUUCAUUCGCAGCGGCUCUCGCAUAAGCAAGACGUCCGCUCCGAUCCCUACGUCUGCGCUCGACGGACGUCAUCGGAUCGUCAUUUCCUCGAGCUCGUGAUGUCGCAUCCGCUGUCUGCGGUCAUCAUUAAACGGCUGGCAGCGAUGAUCGGAUGGUCUUGUUCGUUUAACCCAUCCGUUCGAGACUGCUGAACGAACUACGAUCUGUGAACGAGGGUGUCGUGUGUCCGGACCAGACGGGGGUGCAACUCCCCCCAUCUCCACCA
rnacentral:tmRNA from 1 species